rnacentral:misc_RNA from 1 species
CCCAGAAGACGAGGAAUCUGCUUGAUGACAGAUUCUGAAGCCAAAAACGCAUGGUACUGCUUGGCGAGUUUCUUGACCAAUUUCUUGUUCUUGUUUAGUUUCUUCAAUGCUUCCACAUCCAUCCACUGCAAACCUAUUCCCUCUGCCUCCUCAACAUGCUGAGCAUCACCAAGCAUGCAAAUUUUCAUUUUGGGCCGGGGAAUAUGUGGCAGCUUC